rnacentral:rRNA from 1 species
GAUGGGAGCUUGCUCCCUGAAGUCAGCGGCGGACGGGUGAGUAACACGUGGGCAACCUGCCUGUAAGACUGGGAUAACUCCGGGAAACCGGGGCUAAUACCGGAUAACUCUUUCCCUCACAUGAGGGAAAGCUGAAAGAUGGUUUCGGCUAUCACUUACAGAUGGGCCCGCGGCGCAUUAGCUAGUUGGUGAGGUAACGGCUCACCAAGGCCACGAUGCGUAGCCGACCUGAGAGGGUGAUCGGCCACACUGGGACUGAGACACGGCCCAGACUCCUACGGGAGGCAGCAGUAGGGAAUCUUCCGCAAUGGACGAAAGUCUGACGGAGCAACGCCGCGUGAGUGAUGAAGGUUUUCGGAUCGUAAAACUCUGUUGUCAGGGAAGAACAAGUACCGGAGUAACUGCCGGUACCUUGACGGUACCUGACCAGAAAGCCACGGCUAACUACGUGCCAGCAGCCGCGGUAAUACGUAUGUGGCAAGCGUUGUCCGGAAUUAUUGGGCGUAAAGCGCGCGCAGGCGGUUCCUUAAGUCUGAUGUGAAAGCCCCCGGCUCAACCGGGGAGGGUCAUUGGAAACUGGGGAACUUGAGUGCAGAAGAGAAGAGUGGAAUUCCACGUGUAGCGGUGAAAUGCGUAGAGAUGUGGAGGAACACCAGUGGCGAACGCGACUUUCUGGUCUGUAACUGACGCUGAGGCGCGAAAGCGUGAGGAGCGAACAGGAUUAGAUACCCUGGUUAGUCCACGCCUUAAACGAUGAGUGCUAAGUGUUA